GUGCUCGCUUUGGCAGCACAUAUAUUAAAAUUGGAACAAUACAGAGAAAAUUAGUGUGGCCCCUGUGCAAGGAUGACAUGGAAAUUUGUGGAGUGUUCCAUAUUUAA
rnacentral:snRNA from 1 species